rnacentral:rRNA from 1 species
UGCGUAGGCGGAGGAUUAAGUCAGUGGUGAAAUCUCACAGCUCAACUGUGAAACUGCCAUUGAAACUGAUUUUCUUGAAUACGGUUGAGGUAGGCGGAAUAUGUUAUGUAGCGGUGAAAUGCUUAGAUAUAACAUAGAACACCAAUUGCGAAGGCAGCUUACUAAGCCGUUAUUGACGCUGAGGCACGAAAGCGUGGGGAGCGAACAGGAUUAGAUACCCUGGUAGUCC